ensembl:snRNA U6 U6 spliceosomal RNA
GUUCACAUAAGAUGAUGAUGCACAUAUACUAAAAUUGGAACAAUACAGAGAAGAUGAGCAUGGCCCCUGUGCAAGGAUGACACUCAAAUUCAUGAAGCAUUCCAUAUUUUU